CAUAGCUGUGGAAAUGGUGAGCAAGAUUUUGGAAAGCUACGGAAAUAUUUGGUUAGAGCAGCUUAGCUGAAGCAUACCUGCAGAGGCUGCACAGACAAAUGACUUGCUUCUGGCAUUGAGGACAGAUGUUGGGUAAAUUUUGAUGGAUCAGCUUAUGAAGAGAGACACUUACUGCAACAGGUUCCUGACCUGAUGAUCUUAUUGGCUCCCUAGACUGCCUCUAUAUAUCCAGGACAAUGGUGAAUUAAGGGCUUUUUUACCCUUAUUUUGACAGGCUUUAUUGAUUUGGGAAAAAUUCCCUCUACUUACAUUUACAAGCACCGAUGGAACACAAGGAAAAACCAUCAAAAUUGAGGAAACAUGUCAAAGUUUUCCAUCUGUCUGUCAUUAAAAAGAUGAAUUGCAGAACAGGGCUACAGUUAAAGGAAUUUGUAAGCAGUGAUUUGCACAAAACACAGUGGGUGAUGCUAUGAGUAGUAUUGAUUUCAUAGGGAAUAGCUUAGCUGCACUGCACCUAGAAAUCAAUGGACAGGUAGUGUCAAUUUUGAAGUCAGAGGUACUAUGACUUCCCUACCAUGCAAUAUCAAGUACUCUAAAAUGUAGCUUGUUUUUUCACUGGAAGAGGAGAAGAUAUGAUUUUUCUCCCUUUCCUCCUCUAUGCAAUUUAAUAAGGUUGUAUGUAUAACCCUUUUAUGUCAACUAUAUAUGUCCCCACGAAAACACACUGGGAGUGUAAGGUAAAGGAAUAAAAACGGAUUUAUUUGAUGCACCUAAAUGAACAAAUGCAGCCACAAUUUUAAAAGUACAUAGGUUUUAAAACAGUGAUACUGUCAUGUCCAUGAGAUUAUUGGAUAUGAGGGGUAUUGCAUCAGAGGAGACAACUCUGAUGCACACUCAACUCAGGUAUUUGAAAUAAUCUUAAUUUCUUUCCACGCUGAUUCCCUUGUGUGAAGUAGAUAUAAUAUAUUUCACCUAUUUCAACUGUACAGCCUUCAGGAAAGAAAUUUCAUGUAUAAAUAUGUCACGUGACAUCUUUGUCUGCUGUUGUAGUAUAUGAAAAUACUGUUGCCUGAGAGAGAAUGAUGUUUUUCCUUCAUAUCUGUCUCUGUCAUUGAUAGUGCCUGAGAACUCCAUAUUGGCCACUAACUCUGGAAGAACCGAAGUGAGGUCUUUUGGAAAACUCCUGUGCUUGACUUGUUUUUUGUUGUUCACAGAUGUAGUUAUAUUUCUUCUGCAAUGAGGUCAGAUUUCAUAUGGAACAUGUUUUGUAAUUUGUUUGGUUAUUCCACGAUUACUUGCUUAAUUUGCUCAGGGGAAAAUAAAUCACAGAAUUCGAAGCUAGUGAAAGAUUUUGGCAAAGCUAAUUGCAGUUGCUGGCUAGUGAUUUUUUUUUUUUUUUUUUGUAAUUUGUUUGUACUGAAAUCCAAAAGCUAUAUUUAUACUUAAUUUUAGGUAGUGUUGUGUCCGUUGCAAAAUAAUGUAUUAUGAAGCUUGAAGCAUAUAUAGAGCUAACUACAUGGCUACAUGAAGUACUAUGAGCCAAUGUUUAGAAUAUUUAUUUUUCUCCAUCCAAUUAGAGCCAUGACCAUUCCUUAAAACUUCUAAAUUUUUAAUCAAGGCUUUCAGGCAAUUAAUACUGACAGUAAAAUGCCUACAUGUCCAGUCUUUUUACAAAACCUUACUAUCAAUUACCAUGCCUGAAAAGAAAAUAAAAUUUGGCUUUAAUUCUGACAAUAAGGCUGUCAGAGACUUUGAAACAAAUUAUUUAUGAUAAUGCUUUUGAACACCAUUCCUGUCUAUAGUGUAGUAGAGCUUCUUCAGUAGAGCUGAAGUCAGAAGUAUUCCAGGAGGCUCAGCUGAGUAAAGAGAGAUUUGAUAUCAUCUGUUUUC